rnacentral:lncRNA from 1 species
UAGUCUCAGAUACUUCAAAAUUAUUUUUUUCUUUUUCAUUCAUAUGUGUUGGAGUAUUAAGAGGUGUAUGCAGACAGUAUUUCAACUCUAAACCAAUCCAAAUUAUAUCUAUCGAUAGAUUUUUUUUAAUUACUUGGUCGAAUAUAUCAAUAGAUGCUGGAGAACACCUUAGUAGGAGGUAAACACGGACUGACUACUCGAAGUGGACGGGCACACUGAAAGACUACUACUAAUAUGAUAUUAAUUUAAGACUACUAUAUAAUACAACCCUGCCAGACUGAAUGUAGGCAAUACUAACUGAACGAAUGAACGAGACGCCUAAUAGACAGAAGACCAACCGGACAGUUGCUAUUUGAAUUUCAAUAAAUGCACAUCUAAUAAUGUACAUUGAAUAAAAAAUAACAGUGUUUUAUUAUUCCUACACCUAUGUAUUGGCUAACGGCAAAUUCGAACGUCAUGGCCACGAAGGGCAGAUGUGCGCUGGAAUGCUGUUAUUAUAUCAGCCCUAUUCUGAAGAAUCUCCCUAGGAGAGUUUUCACUUUUCCCUCUAAUCAUAUCUGAAAUAAAUAAAAAUUUGUGGAUUUUUAUUUUUUUCUCUUUUCUCACAUUCUAAACAAAAAAAGGAGAAAUUCCCAGCGACGAAUAAAGUUGACAUCACCAAUGCAAAAUAUUCGUGAGAUUUCAAUAUUCCGCUAGAGUUUUUUCACAUUGAAGUUGUGUGGGAGUUUUUAUAAAAAAAAAAAUAUAUUUGCAGUUGAUAAUAGAGUUGAUGGAAACUCAACCGAGGAUUUUUCAAGCGUAAUAAGGAGAAGUUGAACCAAUUAUGGUAGAAGUUGAAUAACGAACUGAACAUAGGUCAGCUCGUUUCAAUAUUGGAACAUUUCGAAACACCAUAGCACGCCAAUUACAUCCAAAUUUAUGGCUGCCAAGGAUCCCAAACACUCGUCCAAAUCAAGUAAUAACUUGCGUGUUUAAAAGGUCGAUGUUUUCGGUUGAUUAGCUCAGAGUUGUGACUUAAAUCCUUUCGAUCCAUAGAAUGAAGUCAACGCUGAAAUCUCAAAGAAAAAAUUGUAAAGAAUUUGGACUAUAAAUAAUCUACCGUUCAGAAAACUUGGUAUACCUAAAGUCAAGUGUGAAAAACUCUUGUAAAGCAAGAGUCACAUUUGUGAAGCCGACAUUAAAAAUAAAGCCUACAACACAAAACGCCAAAGACUAAAAAGUUGUGCCACUUUCAACUUAUUUCACCGUCUUCUCCACAAUUCGAUUAUAUUUUUUGCGUUAUUAUUGAAUUGAAACGUGAGCUCAUUUGACGGUUUAAUGUGAGGCAUAAACCUUAGCAAGACACCAAAAACUUAUAAAUGCAUCUAUCUAUUGCCUUACCACCUAUAACCUAUAUAAAAAAUUCCAAGAUGACUUCCAUUACCGGCUCAAUAGAAAAAACAACGGUUUGGUGAGGUUUGUGGGACGGCGGAAUCAUCGUGUUCGCGGCGCAACUUCUCACACAUCGCAUCAAUCAAUGGAUUUAUUGGGAGAACACUUUGGUGAGUAGAUAAUUUCACGUUUUUGGCUGGUGUAAUAUCACACCGUUCGACUUUUCCUGUGGGGAUAUGCAAAGUCUACGGUCUAUGCGAGCAAUCUCGCUUCGAAUCAGGCCUUGCAGCAAAACAUCACGCGUCUCAUUUGUCAGCUACAAGUCAAAAUGCUCGAACCAGCCACCGAAAACGGGUCUCAGCUGAUAGAUCAGCUAAGACGCACCCGCGGCUAACAUUUGAGAGAGUAGCGAACCUCGAAAUGGUACACUUUUCGGUAAUGAUCGUUUAAAUGUAAAGAUACAUCUGUAUAUCGAGUUUGGUUAAAACAUCUCAAAAACGGAAGGACUAAUUUGUUUACAAAGAGGCGAACAUAGCUAAAUAACCCCAGCUAGUUAUUCUCAGCCGAGUGAUUGCACACAACGCGACAAAACACUUAAUGCCAAAAAUGAAUCCACAAAGAUAACAAACUUCUUCACCUGGUACUUUCUCAACGCUUGCUAAGCUAACGUGCGUGAGAAGGCCAUAGGGGCCUAAAUGCAUUUCCACUCUUGUAGCAUAUCAGCUUUACGGAACUUUUGGAAAAGUAUUUAUUUUACUAUCUUUUUAUAUUUAAUGAUUUCCAUUUGCAAUAAACAAAAUUUUUUUCUUAUUCUCGUUGCACAUUUCACUUUCCAGUUAAGAAAAUGUAAAGGACAAUAGGACCACUCUCCAUUAUAUGAUUUAUAAUAUGAUUUCAAUCGAACGGCAAGCAUUAAUUUAGUUCGAUAGAACUUUUAUUAGAUGUCUUAACAGCCCGAUUCUUAAUACUCGAGGGGAAUUUUUUUCCAUCGGAAAAUGUUUCUCGAGAAAUAAAAAAUGGCAGUUUUAAUUCCGUAGAAGAAGCUGAUUUUCGAAUUUCAACAAACCGUAGUUUGUCAGUUUAUUACACUCAAAAUAAGUUGCAAAUUAAAUAAAACAAUAACAAUUUCAAUAAAAUUCAUUUAAAACGUGAAAUUGAUUAAAAAAAAACCGCAUAGUAUGGUUUAAUAUUAGCGGCAGAAAAGGCGCCUCUUUACCUCAAGGGCGCAAAACCUCUGGAGGUCAGUCAAACCUUGCAAGCACAAAUUAUUACACUUUACUUUUAAAACACCGCUUUUAUGUAUUUACAGAUUUUAGAAAUACUACGAGGGGUUACAUAGGUCUCGAAGGCCACAAAAAGCUUAUCUUCUCAAUAUUUUUUUUAAAAGAUACUUAAUCAAGUAUACAAUUCAUUUUGUUUACAUAAAAAAGUACAAUAUUUGAUGAUUUGAUGAAAAUUUGAAUGAAAAAGAGUAUAAAUUAUGGCGUUGGCAUUGUCAUGAAGUAGAUCGUCCAUAAAGUGCUUUCACGGUAGUCAUGUUAACUUUUUCAAUUUUUAUCUGAAAUCCAAAAUCAUAUUUUUUUCUUAAAAUAGUUGAA